rnacentral:lncRNA from 1 species
GCGUGUGCAGUUAGUAAAAUGGGGGGAAGCCGUUGAGGAAAGGUUCAGACGAUGUGAUGUUUUGGUGAUGAGUCUAGAAUUUGUUUGUCAAGGAAGCAGAGUCCUCAGACUUGUUCUCAGAGAGUCCUUUGCUCCUUUAAGACACCUCACCUUCUUUCCCUAAUGGCACGCACAGUACCUAGAGGGAUGAAGGUGGCCCUGACCUGGUGUGUAAUUACCAGAGCAAGGUGGGGGGUGCACCACUAUGCUAAUUGAAUGGCUGCUUGUUCAUCUUCUUUGAAAGAGGGCAUGACAGCACCCACCGAGAGGUAGGAACCAGGAGAUGGAGACAGUGAAUCGUGUCUGUCUCUAGUCAUGGCCUCUCAAAACCUUGCUGGAGUCUAGCCUCAGAGCCGAGACUGACCUCACACACAGGUUGGUCAUUUGAGACCAAUGAGUGGCUGGUCAUUCUCCUCUGCAAGUAUCUGACAGGUGUCUGCUUGUUCAGAGCUGGACUUCUUCCCCACGGCCUGUUCGGAGGGGAUGGCUGCAGAAAGGCGUGCCUCCUGGGGGGUUUCUGCCUCGCUGUCUUUAUACUUUGCUCCUUAUAGUAUGCUCCUCUAUUUUGAGAGUUGACAUCUCCUGUCUCCCUGCCAAAUGAGGCUUCAUUACUCAUUGUUAACAUUCAACAAAGUCAUGUACGACACAUUCAGGUGUGGUGGGCAGAGGCUUAGGGAGCAAGGAGGCAAGCUCUAUAAACUCCGGCCUGGGCUUUUUAGUGAGUGUUCCUCUACCAGUGAUUACUGUUGUCCAGGGGAGUUUGAAUUCAGACACAACUGUCUGUGAACCUGGCUUCCUGGAGCGAGAGACUUCACACCAGUGGUCUUCUAUCUCUAUAGACAGUGGGGUCAAGAACAACUACUCUGUAGUAUGACCUUAAGCCCCAAGAGGAAGGAUGAAUGCAGUCUUCAAUAGUGACCAAACCCCCACUUAGGUGGCACUCCAGUCAUGGCAGUACUUGCUUACAGUGUCCUUGUGGCUCAUGUUACCUUGUUGACCCUUCUGGGCAGGGAGUUUCUUGAGGUGUUCAUCUUAUUAAGUCCCCACAGUUCAGUACAGAUUUACUACAGAUUCCCACUAGAACCUUCCAGUUGCCCUGCCACAUGCCCCUGGCCAGUGAAGCUGGGUGGGGUGCUCUGGCCUCUGCCUACAUUAGGUUUCUUAUGUCCCCUCGCUCAACAGUGCAAACUGGUAUUGUUUUUGUGCCAGUGGGCACUGAUAUGAAUGGCUGUGCCCUCACUGAUGUAGGGUAUACCCAGGGUCACUGUGAUUGCUGCCAUGACUGGGAAGUGUACUGCUUCGCAGCAUUUGGAAACUGGCAGCCACGACUUCUUGUCUGAGAAGUGGGAACCGAAGGGCAGUGAUACAGCUGGUCCCAUGUCAGUUUCUCAGCCUGGUCGUAGUAGGUGUGAAUGAAGCAGGAAUCCUAGCUUCCUGGUCUCCAGUCCUGGCAUAGCAGGGGCUACCAUGUGAGUGAGCUUGCUGGGCUUUGGGCUUCUUGUGGUAACAUAGCUUCUUCCACAUGGAGGCAUUGGAGGAAAUAGCUGGAAGAGGAACGUUUUCCUUUCGGCCAUCAUAGAGGUCUAGAUUCCCUAGACAAGUACCAUAACUCAGGCAGCCGUGGAUGGAGUGGUCCUACAUAGAAAGUGAGCCUUUCCUUCCCUUAAGCCUCCUUUCCUCUCUGUGGCUUGGGAAGAGAACAGAUGUAGAAUCACCCAGUUCAUUCUCCUAGCAGGCUCCUCAGCAUCCCAUAGCCUGGCCAUCCAACUUGAAUGCCUACUGCCAAGGGGCUUAGAUCCUCUCCUUCGGGUCCUUCCUCUGAAACAGAUGUUCCUCUUCACCCUAAUCUCAGGCCUACCUCUUUCUUGCUUCCAUUCUCAGUGGACUAUGUGGUCCCCUAGAGCAAUAAAGAGGCCCCAGAAGGGGCCCCACGUUAGCUGGCACGGCACUGGCUCCACCUGGGAAAGUACUGUUCUCAGACGUGUAAUUGUGUCAUUGCCAAUAAUAGUUGGAAGGCUCUAGCAAGCAAGGGCUUUGCUAGGAUUGCUUCCUGAUUAACUAGGUCAACAUCACCAAAAUCAGUUGCCAGCCAGGUUGAGCUGCCUGGUUCAUGCCACUUCCCACCCAGCCAGGCCAGAGAGUUUACAUGGAAGGCAGUUCCCUGGCUUUGGCUUGGGGGAGUCCUUGUCCCUACCUGAGAAGAAAGCCACACUAUACACGGUUCUUCUUCGGUGACUGAGACUUUUUUAUUUUAUCUGCCCCCCCCCCCUUCAAAUCUUCCAUUAAACCCCCGUAGAUCCUGUUUCAAACAGGCAAUUAGACUAACAACGUAAUUAUAUCCCUCCAUGCUAAUUGUAACUAGUUUAGGGGAAAAACAAAGAGAAAGAGGCUCUGAAAUUUCUGGAAACCAAAAGCCACAGUUGUAAUUCCAGGUAUUUCUUGUGUCUGGUUGGUGAGGGGCUGGUGUCUGCUGUUGUGUUGCUUGCCUUGGUCUAGGCUAUUUCUAGGAGCACCCUGGCUCUUGUGUCUUCUUCUGAGUGUGCCUGUGGCUCUUCCUGUCGCUGGCCUUCCAUAGAAUUCUUUUUCUCCUGCCCCGUCUUUGCUGACUGUGAUCUCACUUCUGGCUGACUGAACUGCAUUCACUCACAGAGAAUGAAGAUAAGGCUAUGGAGGCCAAAGGAGGAAGGAGGAAGCUUUUCUUUCAGCUCUUGUUUGUGCAUUGCUCCUUGGGAGGUUGUGGGAGCCCAGAAUUGGCCCAGGUCCUAGGAUUUGAACCUGGGGUUGUAUGACUUGGGUGACCUGGAGUGAGUUUGUCACCUACCCAUUUUAGCAUUUGCCUGAGUGUCUCCUUGGGGCCAGGCCAAGAUUUGGUGAAAGAGCCUGGGUCCUUCCUGGCGGCAUCCAGCCUAGGAGAAGACAGAGGUAACUGGAGCUGGAGCCUUUGGGAAGAGUGACAUCAGAAGUCCUCUACUUCUGUUUUUAAUGGUGGCAUCCAGGUCAUAGGUCAGGAUGGGGAUAGACCAGAGGUAACCUGCUGUGAAGGCCAUUCAGAGCCAGACUGGGAAGAUGGGAGAGAAGACAGCUGCUUAGGGGCAGGGUAGAAGCACAGGUAUGGUGGAGCAUCGGGUGUGAACGUGGUGUGGGAAGACAGGUGGAUGAAGACGAACGGAAGCUGUCGAGAAGGAGGAGGGCUGUGGUUUUCACCUCAGUAGAAAUGAGAGUUUGGGAUGCAAUGGUGAGGAGGUGAGGGAGGGUGACAAGGUCAGCCUUAUGCCUUAGAGAGGCAAGCUCGAGGAAGGCUCUCAAGGGGCGGGGUGGUGGCGUUAAAUGGAGAUAAGGAAGCCUGAGGGGAGGUAUCUCAGAAGCAGAGGUACUUUCUGAGAUAGAGCGGAACCAGCUGUGUGACGUGUGGCAUCACAUUCCGAGUAGAGCAGGUGCCAGAUCAGCAUUUGUGGCUGGGAGCCUUGUACCAACCAAACCCAGAGUGUCUUCUCCAGUGUGCACUCUGUCUAGUAUCCACUUCAGAGGAGCAGAGCUCGGUGGUUCUGUGGCUGUGGCCCUCUCGGAUAUGCUGCCAUUUUGCAUUGUGCCUUUUGCCCUUUUGGCCUCAGCCCAUGGGAGAACCAGUGUUUCCUGUGUCAUCUUCCUUGUCUCAGUAAUAGCAUCCUAAUAGAAUGACCACUCUUCCCUUAGGACAGAUGUCACUUCAUGGUGAUUCUGAGGUCUGGGGUGGAGAGAUCGUGUCGUGUUUUAGGUGCAGCUCUGCUUGGAACCCCCUGUCCUUGACGGUCUUCUUACCUGGUGGUACCCCAUUUGGGCUACUUGGUGCCAGGUGGUUCAGUCCUGGGCUUGCCAUCAGCUAAUGCAGAACUGGCAUUUCAUUAAAAUUCCAUUAGCUAUUUUUUUUCUUUUUUUAAACCAAUGAACAAUUUAUAGAUUCAUUAACUUUUUACAGCACUUGUGAAACCAGGAAGAAAGGAAUAAAGG